rnacentral:snoRNA from 1 species
UUGAUGAGUGAUGGCUCUGGAGGUGUGGGGUUCAUGAAGGAGUGCAUAUGUGGAAUUCUCAGGCCCCA